ACGAAAAUAUCAUGAAACCAAAAAAAUAUGAAAAAGAAAAUACAAAUGAUGCCAGUGCUGAAUAAAGAAAAUUCUACAGUCUCUCUGUGCGCUUCGGCAUCUCCGUGCACGGAUGCGUUGUUAAAAAAUGUGUAGUGGAAACGAGCGCACCUUAAAUCAUUUGAUGAGCAAACAGAUAAAUAAUGUUCCACAAUGAAAGUCGCAAAGAAAGAUAAAAACUUAAAGGAGUAUUGUAGAUGAGGAAUGGGCAGGGGAGCCGACUAAUAGGAGGAAAAAUGUGAAUGGCUGAAAGUAUAUACGCGCAGGUAGCCGAGAAAGAAACAGGACGAAUGGAAGAGGAAAUGAAAUGGAGCAAGAAAAAUUGCCACGGCAACUGCCAACCAGGUAAAUACCAACAACAAUAAAAUGGCAACCAAAGUGGAGACACAAGCCAACAGCGGCGAAUAAAGGGAGAGUUGUGCAACUUGGUAACGCUCAAGAGCUUUGAGACACGAAGCAAGCGCGCCAAACCAAUAUUAGUGUGCAGGUGUGAGUAACGGUAUUUUACCCGCGCAGCUCUCGUUGACGAAUGUUGUAACAUUUUCAUGACGACAGCAAUGGCAACAUGGCGAUGGUCGGUGGAUCCAUACUCUGCAAGGACACUGCUUGGCGGAACAGUUAGACAAGCAACGGGUGCAGAAAAGUGUUGGCAAUUUCUUGUUGGAAAAUUGCUCAGGCUAAGAGUCGCUGGAAAGUUUCUAUCUGGGUGGUGUUGUAAGUCAAAGCCAAAGCAAGCAGUAGCUGGUAGUACGAAUUGUCGAAACGAAACAAAAUUAACGGCAGUUAAGAACCACCGACUAGCAGCAAUGGAGGAAAUAAAUAACGAGCAAAAUAUCGUGGCUGGCAUAAUGGCUGGAAACUUACGAGCUGUUGAAAUGGAAUGGCAUGUAAUGCUGGAUCUGUGAAAACAAGAAUAAUAUCUGCAUUUGAGAAUGCAAGAUGAGUUUGUAUGUGUAUGGGUGUAAGUACAAACAGAAUUGAUCGGCGCUUACGGAAAAUAGUCUUAUUAGUUGCCGACGUAACUAUGGGAACAGGCUGAAUUUUUUGUGCAAGAGGUUCAAUAUUUCCGAUUUUAAUAAUAUUAUAUUUUAGGUGAAAAUUUAAAAGCUGUAGAUAAAAACAAAAAACUAUGUGACAAUUUUUUAACAACUUAAGGAUGUUUAAAACUAUGCAAUCUAUUUGGAUAUAUAGAAAAUGCGGAUGACACCCGAAAAUGUGCUUUCAGAGUGUAAUAUUUCUUAGACGACUAAAUGACAUAUUAAGAAUAAAAUAUGGAAAUUACUGUGUGACAGGUUAA